rnacentral:rRNA from 1 species
UAACGCGAAGAACCUUACCAGGUCUUGACAUCCUUUGAAGCUUUUAGAGAUAGAAGUGUUCUCUUCGGAGACAAAGUGACAGGUGGUGCAUGGUCGUCGUCAGCUCGUGUCGUGAGAUGUUGGGUUAAGUCCCGCAACGAGCGCAACCCUUAUUGUUAGUUGCCAGCAUUCAGAUGGGCACUCUAGCGAGACUGCCGGUGACAAACCGGAGGAAGGCGGGGACGACGUCAGAUCAUCAUGCCCCUUAUGACCUGGGCUACACACGUGCUACAAUGGCGUAUACAACGAGUUGUCAGCCCGCGAGGGUGAGCUAAUCUCUUAAAGUACGUCUCAGUUCGGAUUGUAGUCUGCAACUCGACUACAUGAAGUCGGAAUCGCUAGUAAUCGCGGAUCAGC